rnacentral:lncRNA from 1 species
GUGAAAUUCAGAUUUUUUUCUUCUCUGAAAUGCUUCCGGUGAACAUAACAAAAUUACUAUUCGAAAACAUUGGUAAAUUAUAAUAUUGUCAUUCAAAGAAUAAUAUAUUAUCAUCUCGUAAUUGCUACCGAAUGGCCAGAUCUCAAAAUAACUUUACUGGGAAAUCACAUUUUGCAAUAAACGGGGUGCUAUGCUAAGAACAAUAAGCUAUGCUAUACAGUUAGCAUCAUCUAAUAUCGAUAAUAACAUUGUAAAUGCCCGCCACACUGUACCUCCUGGACUCUGAACUGGUUUUGACUUUUUGCCUGUCCACGACCAUUCUCUUGCCUACCCCUUUAGGAUUAUUAAUAAAUAUCAAAGACUCAAACCAUCUGCAUCUGGGUCUCGCCUUGUGCCCUUAUAACAGAUGCUAUAAACAGAGUCCUAUGUGGAACCACAAUUGCUUUGUAGCAUAAUAUACAGUACCAGUCAAAGGUUUGGACACACCUACUCAUUGCAGGGUUUUUCUUUAUUUUUACUAUUUUAUACAUUGUAGAAUAAUAGUGAAGACAUCCAAACACAUAUGGAAUCAUGUAGUAACCAAAAAAGUGUUAUAAACAAAUCAAAAUAUAUUUGAGAUUUUUCAAAAUAGCCACCCUUUGCCUUGUUGACAGCUUUGCACACUCUUGGCAUUCUCUCAGCCCCCCCCCAAAAAGUAAGUAGCCUAAAAUCCAAUUUAAAAAAAUGGCUAUAAAGUUUUGUAUAUUUGACACAUCGGAACACAAGUAGUGUUUUUGUAAUUUGUUAUAGGCUGUUUUUAAGGACACGAAAUGUGGCUCAUUUGGCCAACAUCCCUCAUUUAUUGAUGGCGCUGUCUGCACCAGGUUGAAUCUGAAUGCAUAUGGAUGUCCAUAACAUUUCUCAAAUGUCCAGUAAAUAAGUUUUCCCUCUCAUGUUGUCUGGAGCCAAGAUUUCCUAAAGGAAAACUCUGAAAUGGCAUAUUUUUAAUGAAGAUUUUGUAAUAUUCACAUGCAUCUGUCGUCAGUUGGAUGGAAACCCAGUUAUAGACACCCUAAAGACUCUGGCAAGUACCCUAGUCCGGUGUCACUUUGAUUAUGCCUACACAUCAUGGUUCACCAGCAGCCCCAAACAUCUAAAGAAUAUGCUACCAGCUAAACAAGCUUGUAAGAAUUGCACUAAACUCCCCCCCCCCCUUAUACUCAUCUAGAGGUUGAUCACUUUUCAUCUCUAUCUCUGUAAUUUGUCUAUCUAUGUAAGUGUAUAUGUAUUUAUGUAACAAAUAGGGACCACAAUGGAAAUAAGUCCCUGACUUUAUUGUGCAAUCCAGGUCACUUUAAAAAUCUUUCUGUACAGUAUAUACAGUAUGUAUUUUUCUAACAGACAAAUAAAAUCAACCAAUCAAUCCAAACUUUGCAGCGGCCAAUUGAUGAAUGGAAAGAAACAUCUGUUAAAAAAACUAAAGUUUAAUGACAUUUGGAGAUUGACAAUCCAAGUCUUCGAUACUGGGUAAGCCUACAAGGUAGGGAAGGAUAUAUUUUCUGUUUGUCGAGAUUGACAUAGACUAUUUAUUUUGGUGUUAAAUACAAACCAUGAUAUUGAAGUGCACAAAGUCGGUAUGAUUGUUUUAUUGGUUGUGUGGUGCAUUGGCACAGAAACCUGUGAAAACCAACUAAAAUUCGUUGCAUAUUUUUUAUAUAAUUAUAAAUAUGUCAUCAACAUUUUGAAAUCUGAUUUCCCCCUUAGCUGUUCAUUGUCUACAGCUGGCUCUGAUCGUAGUGUAAUGAAACAGGCAAGGAGAGUGAACUCGUCUGUUGUGGUCGAGGAACCCUCAACCUUCUGGCCUGUAGCCCUGCCUGUCGUCAGCUGUGCCAAAAGAACAUGCUGAAGUGGCAAUGUCGAUAUCCAUGUUUAUAAACAAAGGGUCGCUACAGUUAUUUGUGGUCGCAAACAUAAUUUUUUGUUAAUUCUAUGAAGGGGAUGUUCAAUUUAUUUUACAGCACAAGGGGAGGGUCAUGUUAAAAUCUUUUUCACUUUGGGGAGGAGGUGGCUUUUUUUUAUGACACCUUGAGUUGGACCAGCCCCUCCCCCCAGUAAAUUUAAGUAUACUUAGCUAUACAAAUGCAAAUAUUUCUCUCUGCCCCAAGGCAAUACAUGUGUAGAAUUGCAUGAGCUAUAAAACUGCUGUAAUAUGUUGUGAUAAUGGCCUGGCUAACGCUACCACACAUUCAUGGACGUUACCCUGCACAUAUUGUGUAGAACUGUGCUGGAUUUAUGGCAUUUUCAGAGCUUUUUGAAUAAUUCAUUUUUUUGUUGUUGAUGAUUUUGAACCCCUGCUCAAAUGAAACCUCUCUUCUGGAUGAAACAGUCAAUGAGUUAUUCUCCCCCAUCCAUAGCUACAGGUACUCCUGGCUGGCUAUUUUUGGAUAUCCCCAGUCAGGCUGGAUUCCAAUAGGAAUUAGAUAUAAUUUUGCAAGUCAACAUAAUGUGACCUGAUGCUCGUUUUGCGGUUGACCAGCAUAUGCUGGGAUGCUGGUGACUAAUUUAUGUGUCUAAAAUGCAACGAAGGCUGGUCACCAGCAAAAACACAACAAAGGCUAGUCACCAGUGAAAACACAACGAAGGCUGGUCACCAGCGAAAACACAAAUCAAAUCAAAGUUUAUUUGUCACGUGCGCCGAAUACAACAGGUGUAAACCUUACAGUGAAGUGCUUACUUACAGGCUCUAACCAACAGUGCAAAAAAAGUAUUAUGUGAACAAUAGGUAAGUAAAGAAAAAAAACUGCAAUGAAGGCUGGUCACCAACGAAAACACAACGAAGGCUAGUCACCAGUGAAAACACAACGAAGGCUGGUCACCAACGAAAACACAACGAAGGCUAGUCACCAGUGAAAACACAACGAAGGCUGGUCACCAGUGAAAACACAACGAAGGCUGGUCACCAACGAAAACACAACGAAGGCUGGUCACCAGCGAAAACACAACGAAGGCUGGUCACCAACGAAAACACAACGAAGGCUGGUCACCAACGAAAACACAACGAAGGCUGGUCACCAGCGAAAACACAACGAAGGCUGGUCACCAGCGAAAACACAACGAAGGCUGGUCACCAACGAAAACACAACGAAGGCUGGUCACCAGUGAAAACACAACGAAGGCUGGUCACCAGUGAAAACACAACGAAGGCUGGUCACCAGUGAAAACACAACGAAGGCUGGUCACCAGUGAAAACACAACGAAGGCUGGUCACCAGCGAAAACACAACGAAGGCUGGUCAAUGCUGUUUUUUUCAUCAGGCAUUGGUUAAGCCAGAUGGACUCUGCAAAUCCUUCCCUUUUACUUUGAAGAGAAAUUGGCUAGUUACACAACCUGGCAAAUGUUCAGUGGCAGCCAGGGCAGAGCGAGGUCAGCCAUCUGCGAGCUACACAACAUGACCAAAAGUAUGUGGACACCUCCUCGUCGAACAUCUCAUUCCAAAAUCAUGGGCAUUAAUAUUAAGAUUUUAUACACCUGUCAGCAACGGGUGUGUCUGAAAUAGCCGAAUCCACUAAUUCGAAUGGGUGUCCACAUACUUAUGUAUAUAUAGUGUACUUAAGUAAAGUGUAUCAUUGGGUUCUCAAUUAAAUGUUUGUGCCUAACACUCUAAACAUGAACUGUGCGGUUCCAGUGCAUUGCCAAAAAUGCCGUCCUGGCCAGCUAAUUGUUUCCAUGCAAACACCAGUGAGCGGAAGGUUUUCUCAACCCAGUAAGAGUUUAUUACACUGAGGGAAAUGUUAGUUUUACAGGUGGUGCUAAAAUAUCUCUGCAUAUGGUGUAGGUCACAUGAACGCUCCACUAUAUAAAACAUUGAUAUCUGUAUUAUAGUUAACAAUGACAUCAAUAUCUGGCCACGUCGAUGCUACACAUUCGUGUUUUGAGAACCUUGGAGAGCGCUAUGAAAAUGCUAACUAUUAAAAUGUUUCAUUCAUUAUGAUAACCCUCAUAUUUUGAAUGGGGGCAUCAUUAGCAUUGCUAACUGCCAGACACAUACCUUCCCCCGGCGUAAACAAAUAGUCUACCUGCUACACACUGUAAGCCACUAGUAGAUCCAGCCAGACCAUCUCUCCCCCUCUCCUUUCUCCCUCCCUUUCUUUUUCCUGUUUACUGGUGUUUUACAACUGCGGACCCAAGCCCUCAAUGCACAGUGUGUGGGGGGCUGAAGGACGACGGAUGGUGAAAGUACAACCAGCUCCAGAUGUUGUAGUAAUGUUGAAGUAAAUCCAGAAGAACUGUAAGGUAUAAAUCUGAGUGGAUGAUGGACAGACCGUUCUAAAGUACUGUAGAAGGCUCUGACUGCAUCCUCCACCUACAUCAUAUGAGGUACACCUUAGGGGUCGACCAGUGUUAUUGCUAUAAAUAGUUAGCGUGACAACAGCCUUCGAAUCUGGGUCUGUAGCAUGUUUUAGGCUGUGCCCCAAAUGGCACCGUAUUGUCUAUGUAGUGCACUACUUUUGAAGUCUUAGUGAUGCUUUCAUUUUUUACAUUUACAUUUUAGUCAUUUAGCAGACGCUCUUAUCCAGAGCGACUUACAUUUCAUUUCAUACAUUUUUUUUUUUCUUCCAUACUGGCCCCCCGUGGGAAUCGAACCCACAACCCUGGCGUUGCAAACACCAUGCGUUGCAAACACCAUGCUCUACCAACUGAGCUACAGGGAAGGCCGAUGGGUCGUUUUCCUGAAGAAAUAUCAGAUCAAUAAAGAAGUAAACCUCACCUGGUUUUAAUUCGUCAGACUGUAUAUUGUAACGGUUUCCGGAUAGUUUUGAUACAGUGUGUCAAGUAGCUUAGAGGUGCCAUCAGAGGGAUCUACACCGGAGGUAGUCAAACUUCACAAUAGAUCAUUGACAUAUUGUUUUUGAGCAUGGAGUAUGUUUUUUGGUGUGCUUACAUAGCUGUACAGUGAAUAUUGUAUUACGGUACCUAUAGUGUCACUACAUUUGGGCACGGGGUACAAAGAGAGAAUGGAGAAAAGCCACUGCAACGUCCAAUUUUGAUGAUUUGAUGAAGCUGUCCAUGAACACGAAUCAAAUUUGACUACAGACUACAGAGUUUAGGGACCCGGAGCUAUUGCUGUUGCUGAUCCCCACUCCUAUGUACUGUCUCUCUGUGCGUUCUGUACGCUCUGUCAGUGUGCUCAGUCAGCGAGAAAAGACAGGGUGCCAGAAAUGUGUUUCCAAUCUGGGCUGUGCUCAUAUGGGAAAUUAGAGCGGAGCGGGGAGAACAUUUCUGCCCAGACCCUGUGAGGCAGCAUGGGGAGGAACACAGCCAAGCGCCUGCCCAGAAGAACCAUGAGCCAUGGCAAACAAACGCUGCUGUGACAUCUCCCCCAACAUGGAAAUAUAGCCCUGCAAAAAAGAGACCAGAGACAUGGAUUUUGCAAAUAUUUAGCAUUGUUCAUCCAAAGACAGGAUCCCAGAAGCUUCUGAUUGUUAUUGGCAGCAUUUUUUUCUAUCCAGAUUUUGAGGGAUAUUUUAGAGGCACCAAUAAAAUGGGUUUAACUGAGGUGCACUAGAUUAUUAUUGAUAUUAAGUGUUAUACUUUUAAUAAUGUCAUACUGACUUCACUGUGGAUCAGUGUCACGACUUCCGCCGAAGUCGGUUCCUCUCCUUGUUUGGGCGACGUUCAGUGGUUGACGUCACCGGUCUUCUAGCCAUCGCCAAUCCACCUUUCAUUUUCCAUUUGUUUUGUCUUGUUUUCCCACACACCUGGUUUACAUUGCUUUUUAGCUUGCUUUUUAUGCCAUGUCAAUUUGAGAUCCUCAGUGUUCCAAAGCUUCUAGGCUUGUAAUUUCAGCACCUGUCCACCAGGUGUAGCUGUUUGUUAUGUUCUGUUUCAGCUUCUACAGUCUCAUUCAACUACUAUAGGAUGUCUUUUAAGCAUGUUUUUUUCCCUAUUCAUUCACUCAACUAUCGAUGGGACUUGUUAUUAUUGUUUUCAAGAUUUUACUGUAGUUUGGUUUGCUCUCAGACCUAUAAAACUUGAUCGAAAAAACCCAUCAGAUGAGAUAACCAACAGUGGGUGAUAUACUUACUCUCUUAAAACACUGUGGCACCCUAAUCCCCAUAUAGUGCACUACCUUUGACAAGGGCAUAUAGGGCUCUAGUCAAAAGUAGUUUACAAUAGGGUAUACUAUAGAGGGAAUAUGGUGCCAUUUCAGAUGCAGACUAUGUAAGGCAUUACUUCCUCCGUAAUAAUUGUAUAGUUUAUACAACAGAGUUGCACUUGAGUAUAGUAGUAUGUGGUACGGCUGUAUUAAAUAGAGUCUGCUAAAGGACUAGAAUGUGAAUAAAAAUGGAGGGUUGUGUUGGAUUCUACUGAGUCACCAUUAAGUGGAAUGCCUCCCUUACUGCAUCCUAAAUAACACCCUAUUCACUAUGUAGUGCACUCCUUUUGACCUGGGCCCAUAGGUCUCUCGUUAAAAGUAGUACACAAUAUAGGGAAUAGGAUGCAAUUUGGGGCGUAGCCCCCUCUCUCACCUCCCCACAUCUGGACCCUGUAACAUUCCACAGGGCGAGCAGAGACGGGGCGCCCACACACACACACACAGUUACACAUGUAUGUGCCUGUUUGUGUUCAUGUGUUACAACUCAGCCUCUCCCCUUUCUACUUGUGGGACACUCCCACACCCAACACUCCCGCACACACAUACACAUUGUUCCCAUGCAUACUGUAUGUACAACCCCCCGCACUCUCAUCCUGAGACCAAAAUCAAUGUCUGCUUCUCUUGGUGUGUGUAGCCUUACGUCCAGGGAAUCCGCCACACACACAUACUCACUCAGUAAUAGAAUCCACAGGGAGGAGUGUGAGAGACUGACACAGUCCUAGACGGCCCUGAUAAUGGAAAUAUAAUAACAGCAGCACCAUUUCUCCCCGUUGUCAACGGGCUGUGUUCCAGAUUAGUACAGAGGUAAUAAAACUCAAGUAUAAUACAUGUAUCUUCUCAAUGAAGCUAUAGGAGAUUAGUACUGAGCAUAGUGAGUAAACAUUAGUGUAGGUCUUACAACUGAAGUAUGAUACUCUUCUCAAUGAAGCUAUAGGAGAUUAGUACUGAGCAUAGUGAGUAAACAUUAGUGUAGGCCUUACAACUGAAGUAUGAUACUCUUCUCAAUGAAGCUAUAGGAGAUUAGUACUGAGCAUAGUGAGUAAACAUUAGUGUAGGCCUUACAACUGAAGUAUGAUACUCUUCUCAAUGAAGCUAUAGGAGAUGCAGCACAGUGUAUUCUUGAUUAGUUUGUUUCAGAUAGCCCAUUACUGUAAGUUCAAAGUCUGUUUAAGUACAAUACAUUCCAUUUCUAAUACUUAAAAAAAGACAUCUACUGACAACUGCAAACUAUAGUGAGUGCUGUCGAAACAUUCUAUUCAAACCGUUACGUUCCUUCUCUCAGCUUCUACUUCUUUCCAUCUCUCUCUCUCUCUCUCUGUGUUGCGUUGCAUUUCUCAGAGUCAACUGUACAUUAAAUAAUGAAAGAUGUUUGAUGUUUGUUCAGAUUGUUUAACGUCAGAGAUACAUUUAUUUCUAACUGUGAAGGAGGGGUGAAUACUUUGGCGCCAUAGGUUUUAUUAACAAGUUAUGUUUAGAACAGGCCCAUACCACCCUCAGGAUAUGACUGUGGCCUGUCUCUGUCUGUCUAUGUGUUUGUUUCUGUCUGUGGAGAGAAAGGGGCUAGUCUAGGCUAGGACCCUGAACUAUAGUGCUGGGGGUCAUUGCUUUGUGCACUUACCUUUCCACCCUCCCCCUCCCUUUUUCCCUUUCAUCUGCAGCUGUGAACUUGCACUUCUAUUCACAACCUGUGUGUAUGUGCUCAUCAAAUCAAACGUUAUUUUUCACAUGCGCCGAAUACAACAGGUGUAGACCUUACAGUGAAAUGCUUACUUACAAGCCCUUAACCAACAAUGCAGUUUUAAGAAAAGAAAAUACCUAAAAAAAGCAAGAGAUAAAAAUAACAAAUAAUUAGAGCAGCAGUAAUAUAACAAUUACGGGGCUGUAUAGAGGGGGUACCGGUACAGAGUCAAUGUGGGUGGGCACUGGUGUCGAGGUAAUUGAGGUAAUAUGUACAUGUAGGUAGAGUUAUUAACCUGUUAGGGCUAGGGGGCAGUAUUGACACGGCCGGAUAAAAAACGUACCCGAUUUAAUCUGGUUACUACUCCUGCCCAGUAACUAGAAUAUGCAUAUAAUUAUUGGCUUUGGAUAGAAAACACCCUAAAGUUUCUAAAACUGUUUGAAUGGUGUCUGUGAGUAUAACAGAACUCAAAUGGCAGGCCAAAACCUGAGAAGAUUCCAUGCAGGAAGUGGCCUGUCUGAGAAGUUGUGUUUCAUCUUGGCUCUUUUUAUUGUAGACUCAGGAUCUUUGCUCUAACGUGACACUUCCUACGGCUCCCAUAGGCUCUCAGAGCCCGGGAAAAAGCUGAACGAUAUCGAGGCAGCCUCUGGCUGAAACACAUUAUCGCUUUUGGCAAGUGGCCGAUCAGAGUACUAUGGGCUUAGGCGCGUGCCCGAGUCGACCGAAUGCUUUAUUUUCUUUCGUCUGUUUACCUAAACGCAGAUUCCCGGUCGGAAUAUUAUCGCUUUUUUAUGAGAAAAAUUGCAUAAAAAUUUAUUUUAAACAGUGGGUGACAUGCUUCGAAGUACGGUAAUGGAAUAUUUACAAUUUUUUUGUCACGAAUUGCGCCAUGCUCGUCACCCUUAUUUACCCUUUCGGAUAGUGUCUUGAACGCACGAACAAAACGCCGCUGUUUGGAUAUAACUAUGGAUUAUUUUGAACCAAACCAACAUUUGUUAUUGAAGUAGAAGUCCUGGGAGUGCAUUCUGACGAAGACAGCAAAGGUAAUAACAUUUUUGUUAUAGUAAAUCUGACUUUGGUGAGUGCUAAACUUGCUGGGUGUCUAAAUAGCUAGCCCUGUGAUGCCGGGCUAUCUACUGAGAAUAUUGCAAAAUGUGCUUUCACCGAAAAGCUAUUUUAAAAUCGGAUAUAUCGAGUGCAUAGAGGAGUUCUGUAUCUAUAAUUCUUAAAAUAAUUGUUAUGCUUUUUGUGAACGUUUAUCGUGAGUAAUUUAGUAAAUUCACCGGCAGUGUUCGGUGGGAAUGCUAGUCACAUGCUAAUGUAAAAAGCUGGUUUUUGAUAUAAAUAUGAACUUGAUUGAACAAAACAUGCAUGUAUUGUAUAACAUAAUGUCCUAGGGUUGUCAUCUGAUGAAGAUCAUCAAAGGUUAGUGCUGCAUUUAGCUGUGGUUUGGGUUUAUGUGACAUUAUAUGCUAGCUUGAAAAAUGGGUGUCUGAUUAUUUCUGUCUGGGUACUCUGCUGACAUAAUCUAAUGUUUUGCUUUCGUUGUAAAGCCUUUUUGAAAUCGGACAGUGUGGUUAGAUUAACGAGAGUCUUGUCUAUAAAAUUGUGUAAAAUAGUCAUAUGUUUGAAAAAUUGAAGUUUUUGCAUUUUUGAGGUUUUUGAAUAACGCGCCACGGGAUUACACUGGCUGUUACGUAGGUGGGACGAUUUGGUGCCACCUACCCUAGAGAGGUUAAAGUGACUAUGCAUAGAUAAUAACAGAGAGUAGCAGCAGCGUAGAGGAGGGGGGGGGGUGGGCAAUGCAAAUAGUCUGGGUAGCCAUUUGAUUAGACGUUCAGGUGUCUUGUGGCUUGGGGUAGAAGCUGUUUAGAAGCCUCCUGGACCUAGACUUGGUGCUCCGGUACUAUUCUCCGUGCGGCAGCAGAGAGAACAGUCUAUAACUAGGGUGUCUGGAGUCUUUGAAAAUUAUUAGGGCAUUCCUCUGACACCGCCUGGUGUAGAGGUCCUGGAUGGCAGGAAGCUUAGCCCCGGUGAUGUACUGGGCCGUACGCACUACCCUCUGUAGUGCCUUGUAUUUGAAAGGCCGAGCAGUUGCCAUACCAGGCAGUGAUGCAACCUGUCAGCAUGCUCUCGAUGGUGCAGCAAUCAAACCUUUUGAGGGUCUGAGGACCCACGCCAAAUCUUUUCAGUCUGCUGAGGGGGAAUAGGUUUUGUCGUGCCCUCUUCACGACUGUCUUGGUGUGCUUGGACCAUGUUAGUUUGUUGGUGAUGUGGACGCCAGAGAACUUGAAAUGCUCAACCUGCUCCACUACAGCCCCAUCGAUGAGAAUGGGUUGUGCUCCUUUUCCUGUAGUCCAUAAUCAUCUCCUUUGUCUUGAUCAUGUUGAGGGAGAGGUUGUUGUCCUUGCACCACACGGUCAGGUCUCUGAACACCUACCUAUAGGCUGUCUCAUUGUUGUCGGUGAUCUGGCCUACCGCUGUUGUGUCAUCGACAAACUUAAUGAUGGUGUUGGAGUCGUGCCUGGCCGUGCAGUCAUGAGUGAAUACGAAGUACAGGAGAGGACUGAGCACGCACCCCUGAGGGGCCCCCAUGUUGACGAUCAGCAUGGCAGAUGUGUUGUUACCUACCCUUACCACCUGGGGGCGGCCCGUCAGGAAGUCCAGGAUCCAGUUGCAGAGGGAGGUGUUUAGUCCCAGGGUUCUUAGCUUAGUGAUGAGCUUUGAGUGCACUAUGAUGUUGAACGCUGAGCUGUAGUCAAUGAAUAGCAAUCUCACAUAGGUGUUCCUUUUGUCCAGGUGUGAAAGGCCUGGACAAAAGGAGUACAAUAGAGAUUGCAAAAAGAGUGCAAUAGAGAUUGCAUCAUCUGUGGAUCUGUUGGAGCGGUAUUUAAAUUGGAGUGGGUCUAGGUUUUCUGGGAUAAUGGUGUUGAUGUGAGCCAUGACCAGCCUUUCAAAGCAUUUUAUGGCUACAGAUGUGAGUGCUACGGGUCGGUAGUCAUUUAGGCAGGUUACCUUAGUGUUCUUGGGCACAGGGACUAUGGUGGUCUGCUUGAAACAUGUUGGUAUUACAGACUCAGACAGGGAGAGGUUGAAAAUGCCAGUUGGUCAGUGCAUGCUCGGAGUACACUUCCUGGUAAUUCGUCUGGCCCUCCGGCCUUGUGAAUGUUGACUUGUUUAGAGGUCUAUCCCACAUCGGCUGCGGAGAGCGUGAUCACAGUCACCUGGAACAGCUGAUACUCUCAUGCAUGUUUCAGUGUUACUUGCCUCGAAGCAAACAUAGAAGUUAUUUAGCUCGUCUUGUAAGCUCGUGUCACUGGGCAGCUCUCGGCUGUGCUUCCCUUAGUAGUCUGUAAUAGUUUGCAAGCCCUGCCACAUCCGACGAGCAUCGAAGCCGGUGUAGUACGAUUCGAUCUUAGUCCUGUAUUGAUGCUUUGCCUGUUUGAUGGUUCGUCGGAGGGCAUAGCGGGAUUUCUGAUAAGCUUCCGGGUUAGAGUCCCACUCCUUGAAAGCGGCAGCUCUACCCUUUAAAUGUUGCCUGUAAUCUAUGGCUUCUGGUUGGGGUCUGUACGUACAGUCACUUUGUGGACGAUGUCAUCAAUGCACUUAUUGAUGAAGCCAGUUAUGUGGUGUGCUCCUCAAUGCCAUUGGAAGAAUCCCGGAACAUAUUCCAGUCUGUGCUAGCAAAACAGUCUUAUAGUUUAGCAUCUGCUUCAUCUGCCCACUUUUUUAUAGACUGAGUCACCGGUGCUUCCUGCUUUAAUUUUUGCUUUGUAAGCAGGAAUCAGGGGGAUAGAAUUAUGGUCAGAUUUGCCAAAUGGAAAGCGAGGGAGAGCUUUGUACGUCUCUAUUUGAGGAGUAAAGGUGGUCUAGAGUUUAUUCCCUCUGGUUGCACAUUUAACAUGCUGAUAGAAAUGAGGUAAAACUGAUUUAAGCUUCCCUACAUUAAAGUCCCCGGCCACUAGGUGCACUGCCUCAGGAUGAGCGUUUUCCUGUUUGUUUAUGGCGGUAUACAGCUCAUUGAGUACGGUUUUAGUGCCAGCAGAGGUCUGUGGUGGUAUGUAGACAGCUAUGAAAAAUAUAGAUGAAAACUCUCUAGGUAGAGCUUAACAUGAGAUACUCUACCUCAGCCAAGCAAAACCUUGAGACUUUCUUAGAUAUCGUGCACCAGCUGUUGUUUACAAAUAUACAUAGGCCGCCACCCCGUGUAUUACCAGAGGCUGCUGUUCUAUCCUGCCGAUAGAGUGUAUAACCCCCCAGCUGUAUGUUAUUAAUGUCGUCGUUCAGCCACGACUCGGUGAAACAUAAGAUAUUACAGUUUUUAAUAUCCCGUUGGUAGGAUAUAAGUGCUUUCAGUUCGUCCCAUUUAUUUUCCAGCAAUUGAACGUUGGCUUACAGUACGGAUGGCAAAGGCAGGUUAGCCACUCGUCGCCUGACCCUCACAAGGCACCCCGAUCUCUUUCCGCGAAAUCUCAGUUUCUUUCUCCAGUGAAUGACGGGGAUGAGGGCCUGUUCGGGUGUUUGGAGUAUAUCCUUCCCAUCCGACUCAAUAAAGAAAAAUUAUUAGUCCAAUUCGAGGUGAGUAAUCGCUGUUCUGAUGUCCAGAAGCUCUUUUCGGUCAUGAGAGAUGGUAGCAGCAACAUUAUGCACAACAUAAGUUACAAACAAUGUGAAAAAACGAACAAAAUAGCAUGGUUGUGUCACGCUCUGACAUUGGAGAGCUGUGUUUUCUCUGUUUAGCUAGGCCAGGGUGUGAUAGGUGGGUGGGCAUUCUAUGUUCGGUUUUCUAUGUUUUGGCCGGGUAUGGUUUCCAAUCAGAGGCAGGUGUUUAUCGUUGUCUCUGAUUGGAAGCCAUACUUAGGCAGCCUGUUUUUCCUUUAUGUUUUGUGGGUAGUUGCUUUCUGUUUAGUGUGUGAGUAUACCUGACAGAACUGUUUGGCUGUCGUUUGUUUUGCUUUGUGAAGUGCUUUUAUUCAAAAUAAAAGAUGAGCACUCAACAUGCUGCGCCUUGGUCUGUUCACUACAACGCCUGUGACAGGUUGGUUAAGUGCUAAUAAAACGGCAGCCAUCCUCUCCGCCGCCAUCUUCCGUGUGUGUGUGUGCGUGUGCGUUGUUCUGCUCUAGUUAUAUCACAGCUCUAAGGUGUCAGCUGCAUAGCUUCAAAAGAGCUUCACCAUCUGCCAAUUUCGAUUAUAGGUGCAACUGUCCCAGAGUCCCGGUAAGAGGACUGAUAAUGACCAGCAGGAGACAACAACUCACACUUUAUUGCCACACUGAACAGACAGGCACACACAGCAAACAAGAAGCAGUACUAGUGAAAGUGUAAGUGAUAGUGUUGUGUUGCAAUGAAUAGUGGUUUUCUGUAGGACAGAAGGAACAGGAAAUAUAUAUUACAGUAGUAAUAGCAGUGAUGCAAUAUAUACAAAGCAGCAAUGGCAUAACAAUGGGCUAGCACACGAUAGUAAUGGCUAUACUAGCAUUAGUGGUGCUAGCAUGGUAAUAUUAUUGGCUAGUAAUAAAUAUACAGUAAUACACAGGGGCUAGUAGGCUAAUACGCUACAGAGCAGUAAUGCAGGCGAACAGGCUACAUAUGGUAGCAUCCUGUAGUAAGGGGCUAUAAAAAAAUAGUAUAAAUGCUAGCACCUUCAGUACAAUAUAUACAGGGGGUGCUAGCAUGCUAGGCUAGCAGGCCAAGGGCAAGUAGGCCUAAGGCUAUAGGUAAUAGCACACUGUAGUAUGUACAGUAAGGGCAAGUUAGCAUCACUGUUAGCAGCUACAAAGGCUAGGAUGCUAACAAACGGCCAUGUUGGAUGUGGCUAUGACCAUAUCAUGAAGUGACUGGGGCAUGAUAACAUCACUGGUCGGCCAUUUUAGGUGAGGAUAUACAACGGCAUGACUAGCAGCCAUCUUGGCCCAGAGAAAGCAAUGGGAGAGAUUUUACCCCAUGGCCUGAACAUAAAGGUACACAGAACUAUGCCAAAGUGGCAGACUGUGAAAUGUAUGUAACAUGGGAUUACAGAAGGAGGAAAUCCUGAAAUAUACACAUCUUAAGGAAGCAUAUACAAGCAUAUACUAACAAAGCAAUAGCAGCCUAUAACACGUAUACAGAUCAAAUACACACAUGAACCCUAACAAAGUCCACUUACCUUUUCCGUGACGAACUAACACAUGGUUGGGGAAGUCCAGGGAAGGCUUGUACGGUUCAGCAAUCCUCAUCAGUAAAAGGCUACAAAGUUUGUGUCUCUCCCAGGUCCAGAGAGAGAGUUAAGGAGAGAGGGUUUUUAACAAUAGCGGUUGAACAGGCAGUUAUAUAAACAAGUGUCUUCUCAUUGGCCAUGUUGGUUUUGUCUUAACAAUCCUCUACGGCAGUGGUUCCCAAACUUUUUAUAGUCCCCUACCCCUUCAAACAUUCAACCUCCAGCUGCGUACCCCCUCCAGCACCAGGGUCAGCUCACUCUCAAAUGUUGUUUUUUGCCAUCAUUGUAAGCCUGCUAUACAAUACAUUAAUUAAACAUAAGAAUGAGUGUGAGUUUUUGUUACAACCCGGCUCGUGGGAAGUGACAAAGAGCUCUUAUAGGACCAGGGCACAAAUAAUAAUAUAAUAAUAAUCAAUAAUUUUGCUCUUUAUUUAGCCAUCUUACUUAAAAAAAACGUAUUUGUUCAUCAUAAAUUGUGAAUAACUCACCACAGGUUAAUGAGAAGAGUGUGCUUGAAAGGAUGCACAAAACUCUGCAAUGAUGGGUUGUAUUGGAGAGAGUCUCAGUCUUUAAAUUAUUUUCCACACACAGUCUGUGCCUGUAUUUAGUUUUCAUGCUAGUGAGGGCCGAGAAUCCACUCUCACAUAGGUACGUGGUUGCAAAGGGCAUCAGUGUCUUAACAGCGUGAUUUUCCAAGGCAAGAAACUCUGAGCUCAGCCCUAUCCAGGUAUCUGGCAGUGGCUUCUGAUUAAAUUAAAUUUUCACAGAAGCGUUUGUUGCAAUUUCAAUGAGGCUCUCUUAUUCAGAUAUUGGUAAGUGGACAGUAGGCAGGGCAUGAAAUGGAUAAGGAAUUCAGUUGUUUGUGUCAUCCGUUUCGGGAAAGUACCGGCGUAAUUGUCCAUCCAGCUCACUCAGGUGCUUCACUAUAUCACAUUUGACAUUGUCCGUAAGCUUGAGUUCAUUUACACACAAAAAAAUCAUACAUUCUUAACACAGACAGAAAAGAGCUCCAACUUCGUAAUCAUAGCCUCAAUUUUGUCCCACACAUUGAAUAUACUUGCGGAGAGUCUUUGUAAUCCUACAUUUAAAAAAGUGUCAAUACUUUGCCCCUUGAUAACCAGCGCACUUCGUAUGUUGUAAAAGCGUUACAUGGUCGCUGCCCAUAUUAUAUAUGAAGGGAACAUUUUGGCAUUUACUGUAUGAUCGAUGAGAAACUCCAUAUUGCAAAUGUACGGUCCCUUACUAGACAUCCACGAAUGUUUGUAAAAUUCGUGGAUGGCUACGGGCCAUGCACCGGGGCCAGAUCUUCCGGGAAGUCAUCGAACGAAGCCUCUCGGACAUUCGAUUUCCGUUUUAUAAAAUUAUCUAAUUUUUGUCAUUUUUCCGCUGUCCCGGAAAAUACCACCAGAUGGCGAAUGUAAUCUUAUUGCAAAUGUACAAACAUCACCAAUCACGACGUGGCCAUUUUUCCUAAACGGAAAAGACUUCGAAGACGAAACUUGGUGAGCAUAGGUUUGGCAUAAUGGGCAGUUGGCCCCGAACAAGACGACGUCGAGGCCUCAACGCUUUUUGAGUUAAGGCUAUUUUUCUGGGAUUAAAGGUCAAAAAUUAAAAUAGAGCGCUAAUUUGACCACUUCACGUCAAAGUACAUGAACCUACGGUGUCAGGAAAAAAAGAACCAGCCAUUUAUCUAUCGUAAUUUAAGAGAAAUCGUACAAUGUACAAUUGGUGAUGUUCAAAAAAUGUUUUGUUUUUUUCUCAGAAAAGUUACAGAUCCAAUUGCAGCUUGUUCAGAUGAAUCCGUUAAGGCGGGUUUCGGAGCUCUGCAAGAUUUCUGUAAUUUUCUGUGAUUUUCUGAAAUAACACACACUCAUUCAACCCUCUGUAAAUAAGUCAGUUCUUAACGUAAAGACUUAAAACUCAAUAUUCUAUAAGAGCCUACCCCAAGGAGGGUAUGUGUUCACUUUCAGCUUCCUGUGUCAACCAGCAGUACCUUAAAAAAUAUAUUUGUUUUAUUUCAUCUUUAUUUAACCAGGUAGGCAAGUUGAGAACAAGUUCUCAUUUACAAUUGCGACCUGGUCAAGAUAAAACAAGCAGUUUGACACCUACAACAACACAGAGUUACACAUGGAGUAAAACAAACAUACAGUCAAUAAUAUAGUAGAAAAAUAAGUCUAUAUACAAAGUGAGCAAAUGAGGUGAGAUAAGGGAGGUAAAGGCAAAAAAGGCCAUGGUGGCGAAGUAAAUACAAUAUAGCAAGUAAAACACUGGAAUGGUAGAUUUGCAGUGGAAGAAAGUGCAAAGUAGAAAUAUAAAUAAUGGG